UGCGAUGAUGAUCACUUUCAAUUUAAUACGCUAAAAUGGAAUUACCGGCCGAGACACUGGUCGAUGGCGAAGACACAAGGCUUCAGCUGAUU
rnacentral:snoRNA from 1 species